UACGAAGGGGGCUAGCGUUGCUCGGAAUUACUGGGCGUAAAGGGCGCGUAGGCGGCACUGUUAGUCAGGCGUGAAAGUCCUGGGCUCAACCUGGGAACUGCGCUUGAUACGGCAGAGCUAGAGGAUGGAAGAGGCUCGCGGAAUUCCCAGUGUAGAGGUGAAAAUUCGUAGAUAUUGGGAAGAACACCGGUGGCGAAGGCGGCGAGCUGGUCCAUUAC
rnacentral:rRNA from 1 species